rnacentral:rRNA from 1 species
UACGGAGGAGGCAAGCGUUAUCCGGAAUUAUUGGGCGUAAAGCGUCCGCAGGUGGCACUUCAAGUCUGCUGUCAAAGACCGGGGCUUAACCCCAGAAAGGCAGUGGAAACUGAAGUGCUAGAGUGCAGUAGGGGUAGAGGGAAUUCCCGGUGUAGCGGUGAAAUGCGUAGAGAUCGGGAAGAACAUCGGUGGCGAAAGCGCUCUGCUGGACUGCAACUGACACUCAGGGACGAAAGCUAGGGAGCGAAUGG